rnacentral:rRNA from 1 species
UACGUAGGGUGCGAGCGUUAAUCGGAAUUACUGGGCGUAAAGCGUGCGCAGGCGGUGAUGUAAGACCGAUGUGAAAUCCCCGGGCUUAACCUGGGAACUGCAUUGGUGACUGCAUUGCUGGAGUAUGGCAGAGGGGGGUGGAAUUCCACGUGUAGCAGUGAAAUGCGUAGAGAUGUGGAGGAACACCGAUGGCGAAGGCGGCAUCCUGGACCAACACUGACGCUGAGGAGCGAAAGCCAGGGGAGCAAACGGG